rnacentral:rRNA from 1 species
GAUGAACGCUGGCGGCGUGCUUAACACAUGCAAGUCGAACGGAAAGGCUCCUGCUUGCCGGGGUACUCGAGUGGCGAGCGGGUGAGUAACACAUGGGUGAUCUGCCCUGCACUUCGGGAUAUGCCUGGGAAACUGGGUCUAAUACCGGAUAGGACGAUGGUUUGGAUGCGGUUGUGGAGAGUUUUUUCGGUGUGGGAUGAGCUCGCGGGCUAUCAGCUUGCUGGUGGGGGAUUGGCAUACCAACGCAUCGACGGGUCGGCGGCCUGGGAGCGAGUACGGCGACAUUGCGCCUGAGGUAGGGCCCAGUCUGCUACGGUCGGCAGUAGUGGGGAAUAUUGCGCAAUGGCGCCAAGUCUGAUGCGGAGGCGCUCGGUUGGUAAAGCCCGCCUUCUGGGUAUAAACACCUUUCGCUAGGGACGAAGCGGUAGUGACGUUACCUGGAGAAGAAGCACCGGCUAACUACGUG